AUCAUUCUUCAUUUAAGAAUUUAAGGAAAAAGAUAAGGUAAAAAUUUAUGAUAACGUUGAGUCAUAAUUAAUUUACAAGCCUUUAGUUAAUGAUGAACUUAUGUGUAAUGUUAAACUACUUAAACUAACUACUUGAUGAUAAACCAGAUGUGUGAUGGAUAGAUCAGACUACCGGUUGGUACAGACAAUCAUCUUGAUUUACACGCCCCUUUGUGAUGUCAAUAGAUAGUAUAGUUUUACAUUGCAUUUAAUGACUAAUAAACACAUAUACACACAAUACCUCUGGUUGUAAAAUACUGGGUUCUUUAUCAUACCACUUAUCAAUAAUCUAAAAAUAUAUAUUAUUGUUUCCGUCAUUAACUAAAGGCUUACAAAUUACAUGAUUGAACUUUACUAUAAAGUGUUACCAAUACGACACUUAAUUUGCUCUAUUGCAUAAUGCAUAUAAACCAUCCUUGAUGUAUUAAGGUUGGAGGAUGAGUGAUAAGAGGAUGUCUUGUUGCCUAGGUACAUCCAGCCGCCAACAGCUCCUCUGCUCCUACGGCUCCCAUUAGAAGGUCAUUUCCUUCCGAUUCCCCUGAGGUCAUAUCCUGUUUGAACCUCUUGAACAGACAUCCCCACAGUGACCCCACCGGAUAUUUAACUCCACAUGAUUGAGGACCUGUUGCAGGCCAAGACUCCUUCAUAUGAUUUUAAAUCAUGUUAACCAUAAUCGUCUGAGACCUCUAAGUCUAUUUUAGAUUUCCAGGGGGCCCUUCUCUUUCUCUAGAUUUCUUGGCCCAAUUAUCAAUGGACGAAGACCCAAAUACCUCCAGUCACAAUCAGAUGGACUCAACGAUUCAGAGCAUCGUAACAAUUGUUGUUUAUGUCUCAAAGGACCUCAAGGGCGCUCUCAUAGUGCCCCCCUCUUUAUUGUCAUAUUAAUCACGCCCCAUGUUAUGUAUACACACAAUAGUUUAUGGAAGCUAAGUUUAAUAUAAAAGAUGAAGAGAAAUAUCAAAAUGACUGACAAAAAGGGCAGACAGUGGAGGUAGACCUUGGCAAUUUGAGUAGUUCAGAGGGACUUCUGCUGUGCACAGCUCCCCCCCCGCCCCCAAGAAGGCAAAUGUUAGUUUUAUUGGGGUGGAUAAAUAACACAACACAUCCACACUCGUUCCAUCUCCGCGCCUCUUUUAGCCCGGGUCGUCCAUGAAAGGACAGGUGUGAACGUGAGGAGGUGGGGGCGGCGGACAGCUGCCUCCUGCUCCUGUUAAUGGAGAUCCAGGCUGGGGAGGGGGAGGUGGACGAGGAGAAGCCCCUACCCCUCUCUGGGCUGACAGCUCGUUGGGAGACUAGAAGUCUCUUCCCGGCUCUGAUUAAUGGAGCUAUCUGCUGUCCUUCAUCCCCCCCCAGCCCCCUAUUGGGAUGGGUUCCUAUUGAGUGAGGGGCCGUUUAUUUGCCCACAACAGAUGGGCCCCCUGGGGCCAGGGGCUCGUUUGCACCUCUUCUGCUGCGGGGGGCACCCCAGCAUGCUCCAUCUUCAUCUGGCCCCAGAAUCCUUAACACUGGCCCUGCUCAGAGGUCACCUCUGCUGCCCUGGUUCCCGACUAACUUACUGCUGGAGAAUGAAUGUUGAUCUGUCUUUCACAACUUUCACCUGUCUCUCUCUCUCUCUCUCUCCCUUCCUCUCUCCCCUUCCCCCUCUCUUUCUCUCUCUUCCUCCCUUCUAUCCAUCUCCCUCUUCUCUCCCUCUCUCUCUCUCUCUCUCUCUUCCUUCCUCUCUCUCCCGUCUCCCCCUCCCCUUUCUCUCUCCUCCCCCUCUCCUGUUCUCCAUCUCCCCCCCAGCAGGGGACAUGGCUCUCUGGCAGCAUGACUGAUGGGCUUGGUCGUCCCAUAGGGUACUGUGUCUGUGUGUUUGCCGUGCGAUGGCACCAUACAGUAUAAAUACACCCCUGCUGUCACAACACAGCGGCGUUCCAGUUCAGCAGAAGCUCCGCUUGGUCCAGUUUCUUAUGCCCUCCCCGACAGGGCACUGUUGACGUAUUUGGGGCAUGAUCAUCAUCCACCGUCAUACCAGAUCCGUGUGUGCAGGGUUUAGGUUCGGCUUAAAUCCCCUCGAAAUCUCAACGAUUUCUCUUCCAUGCGAAAGCGGGUGUGUUGUUGAACGCCGACAUACGCCGUCUUACCGGCGGCUGAGAGACGUGAGCGUCUCCUCAUUUGUUUUGGUCGCGUUUCAGUGAGAAUAAAGCCCCAACUGACAAUGGGGGGUUGUAUUUAUGCCUUCCUUCCUUCCUGAGUCAUUCCUGUCUAGUCUUCUACAGUGACAUGCACGAAGCGAAGAAGAGGCGUCAAAGAUUUGACUUGCAAAUUCCCUGGUUUAUUGACUAUGGGGACCCAAUGAGAAGCCCCGUCACCAUUAUCUUCCACCAGUUAUCUGCACGUUUACCCAGUAGACAGAUUGGCGGUUUUCUUUUCCGUGUCGUGUCUGAACAAACACUUGAAAUGUUUCCAAAGGGUGUUGAUAAUCUUAAGGAGAUGGUUUUGUAUGAUGACACCCCUUCCUGCAUCUCUGACUUCCUACGCUUUUAGGAAUCGCUGUUAGCUGUAGUGGCUCAGUGAAUUCAGAUGUCAUUAAGGAGCAGGUAGGGGUUAGACAGUACAGAGACAGGUCUGUAAGGAGCAGGUAGGGGUUAGACACUACAGAGACAGGUCAGUAAGGAGCAGGUAGGGGUUAGACAGUAGAGAAACAGGUCAUUCUGUAGCUGGAAGGCGUCAUCUUGCUCAAGGAUGACUACAGGUAGAAUGCGGACAUUGGAGAUUGAACCCAGAACUUUUCAACAUUAUAUUCAGUUAUAAAUUCAUCGGUUAGUUAUAUGGGAUAAGGGUAUUCAAUUAGAGAUUGUGAUGUUACGAGACUAGGUCAUAGAUGGUUACGUCUAAGGGUCAGGUUAUGCUGUGGUUGGAGCCAGAUUCCUGCAAAGCAUGCUGGGAUGUAGGUGGUGUGCGUUGUGUGUCCACUAUCAGGCGCGGGCAGGACAGCGGUCUGUGCGUUGUGUGUCCACUAUCAGGCGCAGGCAGGACAGCGGUCUUCGGUUGCUGCUGAAUCAUGUCUCCAGCCAGUGUAUGUCCCCUGCAGAUUAAGGUCGUUCGGUUCCCCCAACGUUCUUCAAUGUCCUCUGGACGCUGUGAGGGUACGUUGUGGUUUCCCACUAUCGUAAAGGUCACAGGUUGAGCAGAGAAGGGGGGGGCAGGCAUAGAGCGCGGUGUGGUUUAAAAAUCUAACAUAUAAACCUCCUGAAGCUGCUUCAGGCUGCUGCAUGAGCUGAGACAAAGGGGUCUGUUAAAUGUAUUCAUAAUGCAGGGGAAACAGUGACUCUCGACGUAAGUAGUACGCAGGAACAGUUUGAUACUAACAGAAUGGGGAUUAAGUGUAGGCCGAGGGAGAGAGUGUGAGUGGGAAGUGUGAUGGCUAUAUGCAUUGUGUAAAUACAAGUAGGAGGGCGAUGUGUAAUGCUGUAUUCAGGGCCAAUACAAAGUGUAUAUCUAAGUAGAGAGCCAAGUGUGAUGGCUAUAUACAUAGUACACACAUGUGUCCAAGGACAGAGUGCUACACAGAGUGCAGGGCCGGACAGUGGACUGUUAUUGUAGCUGGUUCCUUUGUGGGGGUGACUGUGAGCUGCAGCUGAUCCGCCGACAGCUCUUUGUCCCCACAUGGAUGUACCAUCUCCCUGGGCCCAGGCCAGCGCUAAACACACUCAUCCCCUUUCACAAAGACUGCCGCGUCAGCACGGCCCCCUGUCCCAGACGCCCAGCCAGACCCCCCGGGCC
ensembl:lncRNA